AUGACUCGCAGGAGGAACGAUUUGGAGGCUUACCUGAAAGCUCUUGCCAAGAAACUCUUUCUUAUGCUCGAAGAAUUCUGCCAAAACUUUGAAGAGGAGACUGGACGGGUCGAGACAGGAUUGGACCCUAUCCUUUCUCCAGUCGGCGAUGAGGCUGCCAUGAAUAUGCUUCGAUUGGAAUCCCGCGUCGCCAGUGUUACAAGUUACCUUGCCCGUCUGAAGGUGGCACUAUCCCGCAUCGACUCAUCGCUCUGGCCAAGGGCAACGUUUCAGAAUGAUCUCGAGUCUCUGAUGGCUCGACUCAAUGAGGUCCCCGGCCGAGUGCAGGAAUGGAAGAAGUCCUCUGCCCGCUGCGGUGCUGACGUGGCUCUGUCACUGGUCAGGGUCCACUUCAGAGAGGCUCGAGAAGAGAAGCUGGUGGCGAUCAAGGUUGCCAACACAAAAAGGCACGACUUCCAGUCCUUCAUGGAAACUUUCAUUGCUGCUGCACUCGGAUUGCGGACGGGGUCGACUUGGACGAGUUCAUCGAGCCUGCAAGUCCUCCUCCUGCUGAGUGAACCAACUUGA
rnacentral:rRNA from 1 species